rnacentral:rRNA from 4 species
CCGCCUGGGGAGUACGGCCGCAAGGUUAAAACUCAAAUGAAUUGACGGGGGCCCGCACAAGCGGUGGAGCAUGUGGUUUAAUUCGAUGCAACGCGAAGAACCUUACCUGGUCUUGACAUCCACAGAAGAAUCCAGAGAUGGAUUUGUGCCUUCGGGAACUGUGAGACAGGUGCUGCAUGGCUGUCGUCAGCUCGUGUUGUGAAAUGUUGGGUUAAGUCCCGCAACGAGCGCAACCCUUAUCCUUUGUUGCCAGCGGUUAGGCCGGGAACUCAAAGGAGACUGCCAGU